CUUCAGGCAAACCUAAGAAGCCAGGUCAGGGUCAUCCACACCACACAGGGCUGUGGUAUCUUUGGAGAUGUUGCUAGAGAAUGGAGUUACAGGUCCUCCUAACUCGAAUAGCAACAUUGCUCGUUUAUCAUCUCGAGCUAAGUCAGGCAAUACCUGCUGUGCAGGAUUUCUCGGCAAAAUAAUUUACUGCAAGAAACUGUCAAUUGCUUGUCUGCCUCGGUGACUCCAAAGAGAUUGACAAAGACCAGAGAUAUGAAAGGAAAAUAUUUUCGAAAUAAAAUCAGAGUCCCUGCUCCCUCUGCUCGGCACCACUCUUAUCUUUUGUGAAUAAUUCUAAGAUUCUUACUCCAGAUUGAAAGCUCACCCUGAUGCCUUUCCAUGAGGAAUAUUCAUAUAAUUGGAUAUUUGUUUGUUACUUAUUUCAGUAAUCAAUUUAUUUUAGAUGGAGCUAAGUAUAUGGGAGGUGAACCAAUUUGCAUGUACUUUUUGGUAAGAAAAAGAGUUUCAUCCUACCAUAAGUGAGGCUAAAAUUCCCACAAAGAAGCAUCCUAUGUGAGGCACUUUACAAAAGGAACAUGCACAUUUCCUAAUAAUUAUUUUAGUACAUUGGGUUCAAUUGGAGCUGAUAAAAUGGUCUUAUAAGGUUAUUCUUUUUUAAAAAAAAGAAAGCUGAUAUUGAUGCAAGUGACUAAAUGUUCUCUCACCUGAGCUAACUCGUGUUGGCUAAAUUGUGCUGAUGGAUUGCAUAACCGAAUUAGGAACUGGGAAUGCCAGCAACCCAUUUGAGGUUCAAAGAGCAAUGGAGUUAAAAUAACUGUGGCCACCAAAGUAUUGAGUCAAGAAGAUUCUCUGGGUUCAUGGAGUGAUUUGGAGAGAAAGUAAAAGAAAUUCUGUGGUUAUGUGGCAGAGGAGAAAGAUUUCUGAGUCAAGAGAUCUAGCUUCGGUUUCUAGCUUUUAUCACUAUACUACCUAGCUGUGUGACUCUGGGAAUUUACUUCUUUUCUCUGGGCUUCAUCUGGAGAAUGAGGUGCUUGGGGUAGCUGAUCUCUAAUAUCCCUCUCAUGACUAACAGUCUGUGAAAUCUUACAUUAAUUUACAGUAUGCUGGUUUUGAUCAGUGAUCCAAUUUUCAUUAAUAAAUGAUUUAACUAAAUUAAAAUGUAUACUACAUUAGAAUGCUUGAUUUAAUUUUCUAAUCCCUGCAUUCAACUUGGUUAACCAGGCUAUUUAAGUAGUUUAGGAGUAGAAACUUCCAGAUGGAAUUAAUGUGGUAGGGAGCCUAUCAGAGCCAAUUGCCAAAAUAGGAUGGAGACCUUAAAGAAAAGGGUGAAGGUAUAUAAUACUUGUCUCAGUUUUAGCAGCAAGAAUAUCAGAGUUAGGGAAUUUGAAGAAGGCCAAGAUAGGAAAAUAGGUGCUCAUGAACAUUCUUUCCUUUUGGAACAAAAGCUUUGGUUUAAAAGAAUAAAGAAAACAGGGGAUGAUCAAAAGGAACAUUUCUAACAUUGAAGAAAUAAAUUAAUGUAAGAAAUAUUCUUGAUAUUUCAUAGGCUAUAAGCAAAGACAUAAAACUUCUUCAUUAAAGGUGGUAAUCUGAAUAAAUGUUAGCCUGUAAUCUCUUUGGAAACCUAAUUUUUAUGAGCUCAACUGGUAAACUUCAAAAUCCCCAUUAAAAGAAGGAAUUCCAUUAAAACUAUGGAAAUUAAGACAUUGGAGCAGAAGUGGGGGAAGACGGAUAUACAGUAAGUCCUCA